AGUGAACGCUGGCGGUAGGCCUAACACAUGCAAGUCGAACGGCAGCACAGUAAGAGCUUGCUCUUACGGGUGGCGAGUGGCGGACGAGUGAGGAAUACAUCGGAAUCUACUUUUUCGUGGGGGAUAACGUGGGGAAACUUACGCUAAUACCGCAUACGACCUACGGGUGAAAGCAGGGGAUCUUCGGACCUUGCGCGAUUGAAUGAGCCGAUGUCGGAUUAGCUAGUUGGCGGGGUAAAGGCCCACCAAGGCGACGAUCCGUAGCUGGUCUGAGAGGAUGAUCAGCCACACUGGAACUGAGACACGGUCCAGACUCCUACGGGAGGCAGCAGUGGGGAAUAUUGGACAAUGGGCGCAAGCCUGAUCCAGCCAUACCGCGUGGGUGAAGAAGGCCUUCGGGUUGUAAAGCCCUUUUGUUGGGAAAGAAAAGCAGCAGGUUAAUACCCCGCUGUUCUGACGGUACCCAAAGAAUAAGCACCGGCUAACUUCGUG
rnacentral:rRNA from 1 species